UUUUUGUGUGGUAAAUGGCUAUCUUUAGAUAGCGAAGACGGCAAAACAUGGCGAAGUGUAGAAGUCCUCGAUGAAAAUGAUAUUGAAACAGAUACAUUAUUUUAUAAUUUGACUCAAAAGAAACUAUUUGAUGAUCAUUUGUGGAUGUCGCUUUUCAAAAGACCCAGAUGUAGUCGGUUUACAAGAGUUCAGAGGUUAUGGUGUUUAUUGGCCCUAUUGUUCCUGGCUAUGAUAUCAUCUGCCAUGUGGUAUGACACACCAGAUGACAACAAGAUGCAGACGAUAAGUGUUGGGCCGCUUAAGUUAAACUACAAACAAUUUUACGUUGGAUUGAUGUCUGGUCUUAUAGCACUGGUUCCAAGUAUGUUAUUAGUGUUAAUAUUUAAAAACCGAAAAUUCAAGGGAGAAAAAACUGCCGGUUGUCAUGUACCGUGGUGGUUUAUUUUUCUGGCUUACAUUCUGGUAUUUUUGUGUGUCGGUACAAGCGGAACGUUUGUUUUCCUAUACUCCCUGCAAUGGGGAGGACCCAAGUCAUUAGAAUGGAUGGUUUCAUUUGUAUUGGCAAUUUUCCAGAGUGUUAUUAUCCUAGAACCUGUUAAGGCAAUAUUAUUAGCCAUUUUUGUAGCAUGUCUAUUUAAAAAGAUGGGAAGCAGGGAAUUAGCCGACAAAAACAUGGUAAUUCCGGUUGUAGAAACAAUUAAAGAUGUGACAGAUCUUG